rnacentral:rRNA from 1 species
AUUGAACGCUGGCGGCAUGCCUUACACAUGCAAGUCGAACGGCAGCACGGGAGCAAUCCUGGUGGCGAGUGGCGAACGGGUGAGUAAUAUAUCGGAACGUGCCCAGUAGUGGGGGAUAGCCCGGCGAAAGCCGGAUUAAUACCGCAUACGACCUGUGGGUGAAAGCGGGGGAUCGCAAGACCUCGCGCUAUUGAAGCGGCCGAUAUCAGAUUAGCUAGUUGGUGGGUAAAGGCCUACCAAGGCGACGAUCUGUAGCUGGUCUGAGAGGACGACCAGCCACACUGGGACUGAGACACGGCCCAGACUCCUACGGGAGGCAGCAGUGGGGAAUUUUGGACAAUGGGCGCAAGCCUGAUCCAGCCAUGCCGCGUGUGGGGAAGAAAGGGCCUUCGG